UACAGAGGGCUCAAGCGUUGUUCGGAAUCACUGGGCGUAAAGCGCACGUAGGCGGCUUUUUAAGUCAGGGGUGAAAUCCUGGAGCUCAACUCCAGAACUGCCUUUGAUACUGGGAAGCUUGAGUCCGGAAGAGGUGAGUGGAACUCCGGGUGUAGAGGUGAAAUUCGUAGAUAUUCGGAGGAACACCAGUGGCGAAGGCGGCGCUCUGGUCCGGUACUGACGCUGAGGUGCGAAAGCGUGGGGAGCAAACAGG
rnacentral:rRNA from 1 species